GAUUUAUUAACGUUCUUCCAACUUGUGUCAUGGACUAUUUGUCAACGAACUGGAUGACCAAAGGUCUACCAAAGAUCAAAGCGCUAGACAAGACUACUACAAAGUGAUUGGUGAUCUUCUCACGACAGAUAACUGACGCAGCUAUAAGCUCUCAAAAUGAGGGAAAUAUAAAAGAUCUGAUUUUUAAAACCAAUGUCAAUAUAGAUGUGGCAUCCUGGAUUGAUUAAAACACCCUUGAAUUGUGGGUAGAAGUCAUGUUCAAAAAGACACAGACAAGAAAAAAUGCUGGCCAAGUUCAUGUCCAUAAAAAAGCUAAAAUAUUAUUUUGUGUGAAGUGCUUUGGGUGGAGCAGCUUGUUAAAUAGAAGGAUAGACCUCAAAAGUUUGGGUCUAUUAUUCAGUUCAGAGUCAACCAGAGUUUUGAUCAAUGUAACUCUAAAGGAAUCAUAUUUGUUUUAAAGUUCAAUCAUUACUGCAUUAACGAAGCUAAUAAAAGUGGUUUAACUAUC
rnacentral:misc_RNA from 1 species